AAAUUUCUCUCGUUGCGUAUUCUAGAUUCUGAGAUCACAUUGAGAGUCGGCGUCCCAUCAAGAACUUAUUUGCUCGUGGCUGGUUGCAAGCUUUGUUCUCCCCGGUAACGCAAUGAGAGCCAAGUGGCGGAAGAAGCGUAUGCGGAGGCUGAAGCGGAAGCGCAGGAAGAUGAGGGCGAGGUCCAAGUAAACCUGGUGCUCGUGAGUGGAUGCAACUCUUCAUUCGUAAUAAAUGAAUAAAUAAGAA